UACGUAGGGGGCAAGCGUUGUCCGGAUUUAUUGGGCGUAAAGAGCGUGUAGGCGGUUUGGUAGGUCCGCUGUGAAAACUCGAGCUCAACCUCGAGACGCCGGUGGAAACCAUCAGACUAGAGUCCGGAAGAGGAGAGUGGAAUUCCUGGUGUAGCGGUGAAAUGCGCAGAUAUCAGGAAGAACACCCGUGGCUAAGGCGGCUCUCUAGUACGGUACUGGACGCUGAGACGCGAAAGCCGUGGGGAG
rnacentral:rRNA from 1 species